UAGGGAAUCUUCGGCAAAUGGGGGCAACCCUGACCGAGCAACGCCGCGUGAGUGAAGAAGGUUUUCGGAUCGUAAAGCUCUGUUGUAAGAGAAGAACGUGUGUGAGAGUGGAAAGUUCACACAGUGACGGUAACUUACCAGAAAGGGACGGCUAACUACGUGCCAA
rnacentral:rRNA from 1 species